UACGGGGGGGGCAAGCGUUGUUCGGAAUUACUGGGCGUAAAGGGCUCGUAGGCGGCCAACUAAGUCAUACGUGAAAUCCCUCGGCUUAACCGGGGAACUGCGUCUGAUACUGGAUGGCUUGAGUUCGGGGAGAGGGAUGCGGAAUUCCAGGUGUAGCGGUGAGAUGCGUAGAUAUCUGGAGGAACACCGGUGGCGAAGGCGGGCA
rnacentral:rRNA from 1 species